UGAGGAAUAUUGGUCAAUGGACGCAAGUCUGAACCAGCCAAGUAGCGUGCAGGAUGACGGCCCUAUGGUUUGUAAACUGCUUUUAUUAGGGGAUAAAGUGGGGAACGUGUUCCCUUUUGCAGGUACCAUAUGAAUAAGGACCGGCUAAUUCCGUGCCAGCAGCCGCGGUAAUACGGAAGGUUCGGGCGUUAUCCGGAUUUAUUGGGUUUAAAGGGAGCGUAGGCCGUUUGGUAAGCGUGUUGUGAAAUGUAGGAGCUCAACUUCUAGAUUGCAGCGCGAACUGUCAGACUUGAGUGCGCACAACGUAGGCGGAAUUCAUGGUGUAGCGGUGAAAUGCUUAGAUAUCAUGAAGAACGCCGAUUGCGAAGGCAGCUUACGGGAGCGCAACUGACGCUGAAGCUCGAAGGUGCGGGUAUCGAACAGG
rnacentral:rRNA from 1 species